rnacentral:rRNA from 1 species
GGGUAGCAAUACCUGGCGGCGACCGGCAAACGGGUGCGGAACACGUACGCAACCUUCCUUUAAGCGGGGAAUAGCCCAGGGAAACUUGGAUUAAUACCCCAUAAAACAGUGGUGUGGCAUCACACAGCUGUUAAAGCUCCGGCACUUAAAGAUGGGCGUGCGGCUGAUUAGGUAGUUGGCGGGGUAACGGCCCACCAAGCCGACGAUCAGUAACUGGUGUGAGAGCACGACCAGUCACACGGGCACUGAGACACGGGCCCGACUCCUACGGGAGGCAGCAGUAAGGAAUAUUGGUCAAUGGACGCAAGUCUGAACCAGCCAUGCCGCGUGGAGGAUGAAGGCCCUCUGGGUUGUAGACUUCUUUUAUUGGGGAAGAAACCUGACUUUUCUAAGGCAGUUGACGGUACCCGAUGAAUAAGCACCGGCUAACUCCGUGCCAGCAGCCGCGGUAAUACGGAGGGUGCAAGCGUUAUCCGGAUUCACUGGGUUUAAAGGGUGCGUAGGUGGGCAGGUAAGUCAGUGGUGAAAUCUCCGGGCUUAACCCGGAAACUGCCGUUGAUACUAUCUGUCUUGAAUGUAGUGGAGGUGAGCGGAAUAUGUCAUGUAGCGGUGAAAUGCUUAGAUAUGACAUAGAACAUCGAUUGCGAAGGCAGCUCGCUACACUAUAAUUGACACUGAGGCACGAAAGCGUGGGGAUCAAACAGGAUUAGAUACCCUGGUAGUCCACGCCCUAAACGAUGGAUACUCGACAUCAGCGAUACACAGUUGGUGUCUGAGCGAAAGCAUUAAGUAUCCCACCUGGGAAGUACGA